UACGAAGGGGGCUAGCGUUGUUCGGAAUUACUGGGCGUAAAGGGCGCGUAGGCGGCUUCGCUAGUCGGGCGUGAAAUGCCUGGGCUUAACCCGGGAAUUGCGUUCGAUACUUCGAGGCUAGAGUGUGGGAGAGGUUGGUGGAAUUCCCAGUGUAGAGGUGAAAUUCGUAGAUAUUGGGAAGAACACCGGUGGCGAAGGCGGCCAACUGGACCACAACUGACGCUGAGGCACGAAAGCGUGGGGAGCAAACAGG
rnacentral:rRNA from 1 species